GCAUCUAGGUUUUUCAGCAAGGUGCAAAACAUCAUACUUUUUAAGAAGUUCUAGUACAAAGUAGUGGAAAAGAGCCAAAACAGAAAACAGGAACAAGUCUGGAAUAUUUCAGAAACUUAGCAAGUGACAGAUGAAUGCGGGAGUAGUAUGUUCCUUUCUUUUUCUUUUAAGAGAAUGAAAGUUUCUAGAGGACAAACUUCAGAUCGAUUCUGGAUGACAGGUUUAGUAAUUGGCUGCCUUCUUCCACAUUGUUCAAUCUCCUUUAAAAUACAGCAAGGUCAUGCUAACCCAGACCACUCACAUCAGACACCAGUACACCUUACACAGUCUCAUGUUCCUUGACUAUUUGCUUCCAGUUUAUUCUUUCCUAACUCCUUCUCUCCUAAAACAUGAUUCAUUACAGUAGAUCUUUCAGAGAUGCUUCUAUAAAGAGGCUAUUUAAGAGAUGCCAGAAGAAAUUAUCCUUGCACAUUUUGAUAUAUAUUGGCAUGUACUGUUAGAGGAAAUAGAUUAUCUAGAACCCUUUCAAUCUGAGUUCAGAUCCAGAUUUGGCACAGAGAUAGCCGUGGUCACUCUGACGGCUGGAUAGAUAUCCUGCGGAUAUUCUGUUUCUCUCAGGAGCUUUUGACCCUGGUAUCUUUUUGGAUAGCUUGAGUGGACUGACUAUUGGAGGCUCUUUGUGGAAGUUCCAGUCUUAUGCUCUGGGUACAGUGGGAAGUGAUAUUGGCAGACACUGGAGUCCACAAAGAUCCACAUUAUUUUUCAUGUUAUUUAACUUCUAUAUGAAGUUGCUGGGAAGAGUAUGUGAAUUUGAAGCCACUUGCCACUAGUAUACUAAUGAUACCCAGCUGUAGUUUUUCCCAAAGUACAUCCAGAACUGGAUGUUUCUAAAGCCUUUGCACGUCUCCAGAGUGUAAAGGCCUGGAGACGUGGGAUAUGGGAGAACAAACUGAAGCUGAACUUGGACAAGGCAGAAUUGUUGCUGGUUCCAGAAGCUGGAAUUUAGGAUUUUGGUGAUAAAUCUCUUCUGGAUGAACCUGCACUCCCACAGAGGAACAGAUUCAAAGUUUAGGAGCCCUUCAGGAUCCAGCAUUGAAGCUGUAUAACCACAUAACAUCUGUGGCAAGGCCAAGUUCCAAGCUCACUUUGGUGUACAGAUGUUACAUAGCUUAAGCCCAAGUUACCAGUCAAACUGCCUCCUCCAAUACAAUUUGCUCCACACUCUCAGGGAUUCAACAGGGUGCCUUUUACUGAUCCUAUCAUGAAUAUAUCAAUACAUCAAUAGUAAAACCUGUCUUUUUAUGAAUGUUUGACAAAUAAAAAAAUGAAGUGCCAACAAUUAGUAGAACAGAUAAAUAUGAAAUGUUCUGGAAGUCCACUCUAAAACCAUGGGAACACCACAAAGAAAGAAAUUAAAGAACAAAGCAGCAGAAACUGAAGAAAACCUGGAGAAAAUUGCAGACAACAACACAACAGAUAUAUCCUAGGUCACAAUGGUAUAAAUGUGGUAAUAUUUGUACUAAACUCUUCACAUUAAAAAAAAGAAGAAAAGAAUCCAAACAAUAAUUGAUUCAUCCAUUUUGCUGAAAGAGAAAAUUAGAUGGUCUAGUUUGCCAUGAAUCUUCACUGGAAGUCCAGAAAAUUAGGUAUUUGUAAAAGCAAUUUCAACUGAAUAAAAUUAGUUGUUGGUUGUUGUUUUUUUGCUGCAGGAGACCAAUGCAUCUGCCUUUCUCAAAACUGAUACUGUAUUGUAUCCUUUAACACAUCUAUCUACUUGCAUCUUCCUCAUCAUGAAACAGAUAAAAUAAUAAAAUUUAUCAAUUAAACUUACACAAUG